rnacentral:tRNA from 1 species
UUCCUGGUGGUCCACUAGUUAGGACUUGGAACUUUCACUGCCAUGGGUCUAGGUUCCACUCCUGGGCUGGAAA